rnacentral:rRNA from 1 species
CACCUCACAACUAGUCCAAACAAUCUGACCUUAAUAAAACAAAAUAAUUAUGUCAUUAAUACCCUAAACAAUAUUGUUUAAUAAACCAUUCUUUUACCUUAGUAUAGGAGAUAGAAAAGGAAAACAAAUGGAACCAUAGAAAAGUACCGCAAGGGAAAGUUGAAAAAGAAAUGAAAAACUUCAAGUACAAAAAAGCAGAGAUUUCUCCUCUUACCUUUUGCAUCAUGAUUUAGCAAGUAUAUUCAAGCGAAAUGCAUUUUAGUUUGAAACCCCGAAACUAAAGCGAGCUACUUCAAGACAGCCUAUCUAGGGCGAACCCGUCUCUGUGGCAAAAGAGUGGGAAGAGCUUUGAGUAGCGGUGAAAUACCUAACGAGCUUAGUGAUAGCUGGUUGCCUGAGAAAUGGAUAGAAGUUCAGCCCCUGGUAUUCUUUUUAAGACAAAAUUAGAAACUUAAAAAGAAGUCCAAGGAGUUAAUCAUUAGGGGUACAGCUCUUUUGAUAAAAGAAACAACUUUAAUAGAAGGAUAAGGAUCAUAAAGACCAUGGAAUAAAUAUACGUGGGCCUGCAAGCAGCCACCCUGAACAGAAUGCGUUACAGCUCGCACCAUAACACUCUCCCUCAAUUCUGAUAAACAAAUCCAACUCCUCUAACACCAUAUCCGGCCCUUCCAUGCAAACAUGGAAGAGAUAAUGCUAAAAUGAGUAAUAAGAGGCCUAGCCCUCUCCCAAUGCAUAUGUGUAAAUCGAAAUGGACCAACCAUCGAAAAUUAACGGCCCCAAUUAAAGAGGGCACAGGAUCUAAUAAACAUAAAUUAGAAAUACAACCUGUAUAAACCGUUAACCCAACACCGGAAUGCUAAAGGAAAGACUAAAAAGAGAAGAAGGAACUCGGCAAACAUAAGCCUCGCCUGUUUACCAAAAACAUCACCUCUUGUGAACAUCAAAUAAGAGGCCCCGCCUGCCCUGUGACUAUAUGUUUAACGGCCGCGGUAUCUUGACCGUGCAAAGGUAGCGCAAUCAAUUGUCUCUUAAAUGGAGACCUGUAUGAAUGGCAUCACGAGGGCUUAACUGUCUCCUUUUCUCGGUCAAUGAAAUUGAUCUCCCCGUGCAGAAGCGGGGAUAAGCACAUAAGACGAGAAGACCCUGUGGAGCUUUAGACGCUUGACGUAGCCUAAUGUUAAAUUAUCUGCCCUAAAAGAUAAUAAUUCAAAGUCCCUACUCUAAUGUCUUUGGUUGGGGCGACCAUGGAGUAAAAAGUAACCUCCACGUGGAAUACGGGUACUACCCAUUAAAACCAGGGCUACCGCCCUAUUUAUCAGAAUUUCUGACCUUACAGAUCCGGCCCUGCCGAUCAACGAAUUGAGUUACCCCAGGGAUAACAGCGCAAUCUCCUUUAAAAGACCAUAUCUAAAAGGGGGUUUACGACCUCGAUGUUGGAUCAGGACAUCCUAUUGGUGCAGCCGCCAUUAAGGGUUCGUUUGUUCAACGAUUAAAGUCCUACGUGAACUGAGUUCAGACCGAAGCAAUUCAGGUCAGAUUCUAUCUAUGAAUUGACCCUCUCUAGUACGAAAGGAUCGAGAUGAGGUGGAGUCAAUGUUCUCAGCACACUCCCUCCCCAGCUAAUGAAUACAACUAAAAAAGACAAGGGACAUACCACACCCUCCGAGACCAGGAA